rnacentral:sRNA from 1 species
UACCGAGUGCGGGCCCUCUGGGUCCAACCUCCCAUCCGUGUCUAUCUGUACCCUGUUGCUUCGGCGUGGCUACGGCCCGCCGAAGACUAACAUUUGAACACUGUCUGAAGUUUGCAGUCUGAGUUUUUAGUUAAACAAUAAUUAAAACUUUCAACAACGGAUCUCUUGGUUCCGGCAUCGAUGAAGAACGCAGCGAAAUGCGAUAAUUAAUGUGAAUUGCAGAAUUCAGUGAAUCAUCGAGUCUUUGAACGCACAUUGCGCCCCCUGGUAUUCCGGGGGGCAUGCCUGUCCGAGCGUCAUUGCUGCCCUCAAGCACGGCUUGUGUGUUGGGCUUCCGUCCCUGGUAACGGGGACGGGCCCAAAAGGCAGUGGCGGCACCAUGUCUGGUCCUCGAGCGUAUGGGGCUUUGUCACCCGCUCCCGUAGGUCCAGCUGGCAGCUAGCCUCGCAACCAAUCUUUUUAACCAGGUUGACCUCGGAUCAGGUAGGGAUACCCGCUGAACUUAAGCAUAUCAAUAAGCGGAGGAAAAGAAACCAACAGGGAUUGCCUCAGUAACGGCGAGUGAAGCGGCAAGAGCUCAAAUUUGAAAUCUGGCUCCUUCGGGGUCCGAGUUGUAAUUUGUAGAGGAUGCUUCGGGUGCGGCCCCCGUCUAAGUGCUCUGGAACGGGCCAUCGGAGAGGGUGAAAAUCCCGUCUGGGAUGGGGUGUCCGCGUCCAUGUGAAGCUCCUUCGACGAGUCGAGUUGUUUGGGAAUGCAGCUCUAAAUGGGUGGUAAAUUUCAUCUAAAGCUAAAUACUGGCCGGAGACCGAUAGCGCACAAGUAGAGUGAUCGAAAGAUGAAAAGCACUUUGAAAAGAGAGUUAAACAGCACGUGAAAUUGUUGAAAGGGAAGCGCUUGCGACCAGACUCGCUUCCGGGGUUCAGCCGGCUUUCGGGCCGGUGUACUUCCCCGGGGGCGGGCCAGCGUCGGUUUGGGCGGCCGGUCAAAGGCCCCUGGAAUGUAACGCCUCUCGGGGCGCCUUAUAGUCAGGGGUGUCAUGCGGCCAGCCUGGACCGAGGAACGCGCU